UUUUUACUGGAAAGGAAGGAACCAGUCAAUUGAGGGAGAGUUUUUGUUUUGUUUUGUUUUGUUUUGUUUUGUUUUGUUUUGUUUAACCCUGGGUCUGUUUUGAGAGUUCUCUCAUGUGGGCAGUUUUUUUUUGUUUUAAGAUUUUAGUUUUAAAGUAAUCUCUAUACCCAAUGUGGGGCUCGAACUUACAACCCUGAGAUGAAGCGUUGCAUGCUCUACUGACUGAUGCAGCCAGGCGCCCCUCAUGUGAGCAGUUAUGUCAGGAAUGUUGAAUGGUGUCCUGGGUCUUGUUCUCAAGAAAACGUGGGGGAAACUUUUUAGGAUUCAUGUGGCCUUUACUCGUAGAGGGGAAGUUGAAGGCCUGACACUGAAGGGCAGUUUGGUUUAACAGAGGAGAGUCUCCAAGGCCCCAGCUAACACAGUCUAGGUGCAUACCUUCUGGUCAUCUGACCUGAUCCAGGAAGGGCGCUUAGAACCCUUAGGGAGGGUGGAGAACAGUCCCUAAGUAAACUGCUUCCAGGGCAACAGUGUGUAUGCACUCUAGGUGGUUCUGUUUGAGGUUAUGUAACAUAGCGGAGAAGAGCAGGCACCUUGCAUAGAAUUCUAUACAAACGUACACCCCCGUCCUCCUAAAAAAGACUGUAGAUGCAAAAGUGGGUGAAACCCGUAGAUUCCAUAGACUCGUUAAGUAUACUGUGCAUAUAUCAGUGUCUUCGUUUUGGCAAAGUGCUGUUGUUACGUAAGCCCCCACUGUUGGGAGAAGCCGGGCCAUGGGUCCAGAAGGCUUCUGUCCUAUUUUUGCACCUUCUUAUGAACCUGUAAUUAAUUCAAGAUGAAACUUUUUUUUAAAAAAGCAGGGUCAUUGGCAACAGAGCUGGAUUCGGUGCCACAGUACCCCGUGCUAAGUGGUGACUCUUCUCUUAGCACGUACCGGGACUGGAAACUGCACAUUUGCUCUUUGCCUCGGGAAUACAAACUCCACGAAAGGGGAAAGGGAUCCAUUUUGUUCACUGCCAACUUCUCCAGUACCUAGCAUGGGGCCUGGUGCCCAUUUUUUUUGUACUCGAAUGUUUGGGUGAUUUAAACUCUCAGAGUGUUCUGUCCUUGUUACAGUGAGAACAAUGCCACUUCCUCAGGACCUUGGGAGAAUUAGAGGUAUGUAAUGUUAGUAAAGCUCAGGGCCUGCUGGAGAGCAAAUGCUCGACUCCAGAGGUCAGCAGACUUUCUGUAGUGGACCAGUCAGUGUAUUAAGCUCUGCAGGCAAUAUAGCCUUGACUGCCCCUACUCACCUCUGCCACUGUAGCACAAAAGCAGUCAUAGAUAAUGUGUCAGUAGUGAAUGUGGCCAUGGUCCAAUGAAAUCUUAUUUAUGAACACUAAGACUUGAAUUUCAUAUACUUUUCGGGGCGCCUGGGUAGCUCAGUCGGUUUAGCAUCUGACUUCGACUCAGGUCAUGAUCGCCCUAGUUUGUGAGUUCUAGCCCCGUGUUGGGAUCUCCACUGUUGGCACAGAGCCUGCUUUGGAUCCUCUGUUCCCGCCCCUCUCCCCGCCUCCCACCCCCCGCUUACACUGUCUCUCUCUCUGUCUCUCUCAAAAUAAAUAAUAAACUUUAAAAAAAUAACUAAAUGAAUAUCAUACAGUUUCCAAAUCAUGAAGCAUUCUUUUUUUUUUCCCCAGCCAUUUAAAAAUAUAAAAACCACCCUUAGCUUGUGAGCCAUAAAAAACCAGGCAGUGGGCUAAAUCUGGCCUCCAGGUCCCAGUUUUCUUGGUAUGGUAGGCAUUGCCAUUUGGGGCGGGUUUGUUCUCCAUAUUGCUGGCCACAGGUGCACACAAGCUGUGGAAACUAGGUCCUUUGGUGGCAAAGUUAAUUUUCCCUCGCAAAAGGGGAUCUGUGUAAUGGAUCAUCUCUGGGCCGGGAGCAAGGCUGCCCCCGUGGCCUAAGUCAGCCCAGCCUGCAUUGAACUCUGGAAGCUCCAUUCUCCAUGCGAAUUCUUAAAAAUCCUCUUGCUCUAGGUACCAUGUUGUAGAGUAUUCUCCACGUGAACUUGUCUUGUGGAAAGGUCAAAUAGAUUCGGGUUCAAACCCUGCCGGAACAACCCGUUCAGCUCCAUGAGCUUGGGAAGGUCCCUCAGACCCUCUGAAACUCACUGGUCUCCGUUUAAAAAUCCGAAUGGGGACGUAGAGUAGAGCCAUGUUUGUGGCUGCUUCGUGUCUUUUAUUUUGGGCCAGCUAACAUCCAUUAGGUUCUUUUUGGGCCAGCUAACAUCCAUUAGGUUCUUUUUGGGCCAGCUAACAUCCAUUAGGUUCUUUUUGGGCUAGCUAAUAUCGAUGAAGUUCUUUUUCUGCCUAAAGUACUUUUGCUCACCUAGUACAUUAAUAGGUUGCUCUGAGAACUGACACAAAACAAUAUAUUAAGGACCUAACACUUAAUAACCAUUUUAAUUGGACACCUUCCGUAAUAUUUAAACCUAGAUGAGGUAAAGGAGUAUCUGUCUAGAACAGAAUGAGGUAAGAUUGUCACACACACACGCACAGCUACUCAAUUCACUCAGUUUGAAGUUUUUCUUCAAUUUUUUGUCUUUCUCAGAAUUAGCCUGACACAUACUCAUAUUUUUUUUCAGAGUUUUACUUAAACUUCUCAGAUAUUUUGUCCCUGAACAGGUUGGAGACCAAUGUGAUACCGCUUUUACUCUUAAAAUCAUGAAACACUUCAGCUGUUAAUACUGUUAAAUUAUUACUAGCUGAAUUAUUUUCUUUGUGUUCAGAUAAAUUGUAGAUAGAUUGAUUGGGUGACGCCCCCUAGUAAAAUUUUUCUUUUAAUUUUUUUUUUUUUUUUUUUACAUUUAUUCAUUUUUGAGAGACAGACACACAGCACAAGCAGGGGAGGGGCAGAGAGAGAGGGAGACACAGAAUCUGAAGCAGGCUCCAGGCUCUGAGCUGUCAGGACAGAGCCCAACGCGGGACUCAAACUCACAAACUGCGAGAUCAUGACCUGAGCCGAAGUCGGACGCAUAACCGACUGAGCCACCCAGGCGCUGUGCCCCCCCACCCCCCAGUAAAAUUUUAUAUUUUGUCUUUGUGUAUGCUAGGAAUUAUGAUUUUCUGCCAAUUCAGAAUAAAGUUAAUUUAGAAAAUUAGGGGAAUAAAAGUUUAGUGGCAUAUAUAAAUGCCUCUUGGAAGGCUUUUCAAAGUUGAUUAGAUCAAUAGAGUCAAUACAUUUUUUAAAAUAAUUUUUUAAAUGUUUAUUUUUCAGAGAGAGAGAGAGGGAGGGAGAGAAGGAACUUGAGUCGGGGAGGGGCAGAGAGAGAGGUGAACAGAGGUUCCAAAGCAGGUUCUGUGCUGACAGCAGCUAGCCCGAUGCGGGGCUCAAACUACGAACCAUGAGAUCAUGACAUGAGCCGAAGUCAGAUGUUCAACUGACUGAGCCACUCAGGUGCCCAUAAAGUUUUUUUAAGCCCCAGUGCAGGGCUUGAACUCAUGACCCUGAGGUAAAGACCUGAGUUGAGAUCAAGAGUUGGACACUUAACCAAAUGAGCCACCCAGGUGCCCCAAACCAGAGUAAAUAUUUUAUUUUAUUUUAUUUUAUUUUAUUUUAUUUAUUUAACAUUUAUUUAUUUUUGAGACAGAGAGAGACAGAGCAUGAACGGGGUGGGUCAGAGAGAGAGGGAGACACAGAAUCAGAAGCAGGCUCCAGGCUCCGAGCUGUCAGCACAGAGCCCGACGUGGGGCUCGAACUCACGGACCGUGAGAUCAUGACCUGGGCCGAAGUCGGACGCUCAACCGACUGAGCCACCCAGGCGCCCCCAGAGUAAAUAUUUUAGAAAAUUAUUCGUUCAAAAAAAAUCCACAUUAUUUCAUGUGUUCCCUCAACCUUACAGAGAUGGCCAAAAUGAAGCCUGUUGAGUCAUACUUCUGCUGUGAGUGAAAAUGUGAAAAUUAUCUGGAGGCUCUUGGUAGGAAAACCAGAGAAUCUGAAAGUACACUCAUGUGCCAACUGAUUCUCACAAAGCAGUAGUGUUCUGUGCUUGAGGUUUGUCAAUGAAAGGGACAAUCUAUCCAGGGCUUUUAAAAAUUUUUUUAAGUUUAUUUAUUUUUGAGAGAGAGGCAGAGAGAGAAUCCCAGGCAGGCUCCAUAUACCAUCAGCACAGAGCCUGAUGGGGGGCUCGCACUCAUGAGCCACGAGAUCGUGACCUGAGUCGAAAUCAAGAGUGGGACAUUCAACCAACUGAACUGCCCAGGUGCCCCCAUGUAGGGCUUUUUAAAAGAAAGCAUUUAUGAAGGGGCACCCGGGUGGCUCAGUCAGUUAAGUGUUCGAUUCUUGGUUUCAGCCCAGGUCAUGAUCUCACAGUUCAUGAGAUUGAGCCCCAUGUCUGGCUCUGCACUCACAGUACAGACAGAGCCUGCUUGGGAUUUUCUCCCUUCCUCUCUCUCUGCUUCUCCCCUGCUCGCUCUCUCUCUCGCUCGCUCGCUGUCUCUCAAAAUAAAUAAACAUUAAAAAAAGCAUUUAUGAAAUCUUAACUCACAUGAUAUAUACUAUUCACUUGACAUGAUGCGUUUUAUUGUGGGUCAUAAAACUAAGGUUCCAGAAGAUUGGGUCACUUGCCAGACACCACAUGGCUAGCCCUGGGAUCUGAACCCAUGCAGCCAGACUGCAGAACCCAUGAUCUUUUUGCAACAUCUAUGUGUCCAGGAGUCUGCAAACAUAGGAUUAUAUGUAAUAGAUCCUUACCCUCAAGGGACUUAGAAUUAGCUGAGGGACUGACUUUCAUGCUUGAGGGUAACUAGAUGAAAAUACAGCCGUCAUUUCUAAAGCCCUUUUUUCCAAACAGGUUAUCUCAUUUGAAUUUCCUGCAACUAUAAAUCAACUGAGGGGUGCCUGGGUGGCUCAGUCGGUGGAGCGUCCAACUUCGGCUCAGGUCAUGAUCUCGCAGUCUGUGAGUUCGAGCCCCGCGUCGGGCUCUGUGCUGACCGCUCAGAGCCUGGAGCCUGUUUCAGAUUCUGUAUCUCCCUCUCUCUCUGACCCUACCCCGUUCAUGCUCUGUCUUUCUCUUUCUGUCAAAAAUAAAUAAACAUUAAAAAAAAAAUUUUUUUUAAUAAAAAUAAAUAAAUCAACCGAGGCACAUGCCAUUAGCUUGUUUUCCUGGUGAGGAAACCAAAACUCAAAGAAUUAGUGGCUGACCUAAGGUUAUACCAGCAAGUGGCAAAACCAGAGUCCUGAUCCUUUGUCUCUAGCGAUCUCCUUCAUACCAGAAGUCGCAAAAUCAUCUACAAACAGGGAGCAGGCAGGCAGCAUAAAUGAGCAAAGCGGGCCAGUCAUUGGGCUGCACGGAGCAGUGGGUUUGUGGAGAAGCAGAGAUUGUGCCUUCCGUCUUUGAGGCCCUGCCUCGUGGCUGCAGCUGAUCGUUGCCAGGGAGGAGUGAAGGGCUCAAUGGUAGCAGAUCUUUUGAUUUUCAGAGAAGCUGUAAGUCUGAAUUUUUUUUAAGUUUAUUUAUCUUGAGAGAGAGCGUGCGGGAGCCGGGGAGAAGCAGAGAGAGGGAGAGAGAGAUGUUUUAGCUGUUGUGAUUAAUGCUACUACGGACAUGAAUGUACGACUAUCUCUUUGAGAUCUUGCUUUCAAUUCUUUUGGGAUUAAACCCAGAAGUGACAUUGCUGGAUCCUAUGGUAGUUCCAGUUUUAAUUUUUUGAGGAACCGCCUGCCAUACUGUUUUCUACAGGGGCAGUGCCAUUUUACAUUCUCACCCACAAAUACAGUGGUUUGAGAAUUUUUAAGAGAAGGUUCGUAAGAAAUAGUGUAUUAAAAUUCAGACUUAUGGGGGCUCCUGGUAGCUUAGUUGGUUAAGUGGCUGACUUUGGCUCAGGUCAAGGUCUCAUGUUUGUCAGAUCGAGCCCCACAUUGGGCUGUGCAUUGGGAUUCUCUCUCUCUCUCUCUGCCCCUCCCCUGCUCACGCAUGCUCUCUCUCAAAACAAAUAAAUCAACAUUAAAAAAAAAGGGUUCUGGAGAUGGAUGGCCAUGAUGGCUUCACAACAAUGUGAAUGUAUUUAAUACUACUGGACUAUACACUUAAAAAUGGUUAAGGUGGGGGCGCCUGGGUGGCGCAGUCGGUUAAGCGUCCAACUUCAGCUCAGGUCACGAUCUCGCGGUCCGUGAGUUCGAGCCCCGCGUCGGGCUCUGGGCUGAUGGCUCAGAGCCUGGAGCCUGCUUCCGAUUCUGUAUCUCCCUCUCUCUCUGCCCCUCCCCCGUUCAUGCUCUGUCUCUAUCUCAAAAAAAUAAAUAAACGUUAAGAAAAAGUUUUUUUUAAAUAAAAAUUAAAAAAUGGUUAAGGUGGUAAAUUUCAUGUGGUGUGUCUUUUACCAUAAUUUUUCAAAAUUGGGAAAAAAACAACACUAUUGAAAAACACUAUGUGUGCUAAACAGAAUUGGCCAUUGGUCCUCAAGUUUGAGAAUUUGAAAUUUGGUGGAUACUCUGUGGCCUCUAAGACAAACUCUGAUUGCAUUUCCCCAAAUGAGUAGGAAGUGAGGACAGCCAUGGUGUCAGGGAAGGCUUCCGGAAAGAGGUGAGAUCUGAAAGGAGGCUUUAAAGACAG